rnacentral:rRNA from 1 species
AGUCGAGGGGUAUAAGUUUUCGGACUUAGAGACCGGCGCACGGGUGCGUAACGCGUAUGCAAUCUGCCUUGUACAAAGGGAUAGCCCAGAGAAAUUUGGAUUAAUACCUUAUAGUAUGUUGAGGGGACAUCCCCUUAUCAUUAAAGAUUUAUCGGUACAAGAUGAGCAUGCGUCCCAUUAGCUAGUUGGUGUGGUAACGGCAUACCAAGGCUAUGAUGGGUAGGGGUCCUGAGAGGGAGAUCCCCCACACUGGUACUGAGACACGGACCAGACUCCUACGGGAGGCAGCAGUGAGGAAUAUUGGACAAUGGGCGCAAGCCUGAUCCAGCCAUGCCGCGUGCAGGAUGAAGCAUCUAUGGUGUGUAAACUGCUUUUAUACGGGAAGAAACCCUGGCUCGUGAGCCAGAUUGACGGUACCGUAGGAAUAAGGAUCGGCUAACUCCGUGCCAGCAGCCGCGGUAAUACGGAGGAUCCAAGCGUUAUCCGGAAUCAUUGGGUUUAAAGGGUCCGUAGGCGGUUUUAUAAGUCAGUGGUGAAAUCCGGUAGCUCAACUAUCGAACGGCCAUUGAUACUGUAGAACUUGAAUUAUUGUGAAGUAAUUAGAAUAUGUAGUGUAGCGGUGAAAUGCUUAGAUAUUACAUGGAAUACCAAUUGCGAAGGCAGGUUACUAACAAUACAUUGACGCUGAUGGACGAAAGCGUGGGGAGCGAACAGGAUUAGAUACCCUGGUAGUCCACGCCGUANACGAUGGAUACUAGCUGUUCGGUAGCAAUACUGAGUGGCUAAGCGAAAGUGAUAAGUAUCCCACCUGGGGAGUA